rnacentral:rRNA from 1 species
GAUGAACGCUGGCGGCGUGCCUAAUACAUGCAAGUCGAGCGAACAGACGAGGAGCUUGCUCCUCUGACGUUAGCGGCGGACGGGUGAGUAACACGUGGAUAACCUACCUAUAAGACUGGGAUAACUUCGGGAAACCGGAUCUUAUACCGGAUAAUAUAUUGAACCGCAUGGUUCAAUAGUUAAAUACGGUUUUGCUGUCACUAAUAGCUGGUUCCGCGCCGCAUUAGUUAGUUGUUAAGGUAACGGCUUACCAAGGCAAGGAUGCGUAGCCGACCUGAGAGGGUGAUCGGCCACACUGGAACUGAGGCACGGUCCAGACUCCUAAGGGAGGCAGCAGUAGGGAAUCUUCCGCAAUGGGCGAAAGCCUGACAGAGCAACGCCGCGUGAGUGAUGAAGGUCUUCGGAGCGGAAAACUCUGUUAUUAGGGAAGAACAAAUGUGGAAGUAACUGUGCAGGUAUUGACGGUACCUAAUCAAAAAGCCACGGCUAACUACGUG